GCCAGCAGCCAUUUCAUCCUGCAGCUCUAAACUGGCAACCCACUGGAGCUUAGCAGGGUUGAGCCUGGUCAGUACCUGGAUGGAAGACCUCCUGGGAAGCUACGGGUGCUGCUGGAA
rnacentral:rRNA from 1 species